rnacentral:rRNA from 1 species
GGCUAACUCCGUGCCAGCAGCCGCGGUAAUACGGAGGGGUGCGAGCGUUAAUCGGAAUUACUGGGCGUAAAGCGCAUGCAGGCGGGUCCUGUUAAGUCAGAUGUGAAAGCCCGGGGCUUAACCUCGGAAUUGCAUUUGAAACUGGCAGGCUAGAGUCUUGUAGAGGGGGGGUAGGAAUUUCAGGUGUAGCGGUGAAAUGCGUAGAGAUCUGAAGGAAUACCAGUGGCGAAGGCGGCCCCCCUGGACAAAGACUGACGCUCAGAUGCGAAAGCGUGGGGAGCAAACAGGAUUAGAUACCCCUGGUAG